CAGCGCGCCAAACCAAUGCGGAAGUACUCCGCCACCUGUCGCUUUACAUAAACCUGUGACUCAUUAUGCUACGCUAAAUGUCGGUAAUUGUUGUCCGGAGAAGGGACCUGGGACAGCAAACAACAACAAAAAUCACCAUGGAGAAAUCCAACAGUUCAACAUGAUAUUAAUUCAGGCACUACCUGGCUAUGAUGCAGCACGGGAGUUUAAUCAUCAUCUCUUACAUCUACCGUCUAUGAAAUUGAGCAGGAUUUCUUACCUCCCAGUAAAUAGAGUCGUCGAAGCAGUUCUGGUCUGGAGGUUGUCCCCAGAUAGGCAACUUCAUUAUUAAUCCUUGAGCAAGGAAAUAUAUUUUUGGUCACCCUGGUCACAAUCGACCAACCAUACUGAACCACUUAAACAUAGCUACUAUUGUGCAAUAAAAGCACAUCCAAUAUAAUGUUUUUAUACCAAUGAAAUGGCUGCUGAGCGUUGAGUGUCACUUCUUCACCCACCUGUGAUAGCCCCUCCAACCAGAGCAAACCCAAGGGAUGAAGCCAAGGCGGCGGCUUGCAUGGCGGCAUUCCCUCUAAAAGCCACAGCCACAAUACCGGCCAGGCCUCCCAGGAUGCCCGGCAUGCCAUGCAGAUUGUGUACACCGCAGGUAUCCUGGAUGCCCAGAUUAGAUGCCAGAAUAGGCUGUAGAGAAAAGCAACUUCAAUGUGCUCGUUUAUGGAGAAGAUGCUGAUCUCCAGGAUGGUCAUAAUGAGCAGCUGAACAGGGCUGGUUUUACCCAGAACCGCUCCGAAGGAGAUCAGGACUGUGGCUGUGCUGAAGUCUGCGUUGAUGAUUCUUCAAUGAGAGUGAAAGUUUGAACUCCCCAGGACUCUGUGCAUGCAGCACUUUGUCUUUCAACGCCACUGCAGCUUUACAGAUGCCAUGCCUUGCGUGAACCAUGGUGGCAUGACAUUUUUUUUCAUUCCGCUAUGUGAAUGUGCACACACUAACAGUAACAUCUUGCUUUGCUGGGUUCUGUGGCAAAUAAAAUGCUGUUUUAUCUUUAGUGGUUCCAUUUGUCAGUUGAGUGAUGCUGCCAAAUAUGUGAGGACGCUUAAAAAAACCUUAAAAUGCUAACAUUUGCUUUACACCUGCAGUGAUGCCUUGUAGAUAACCUAUUUGACGCUUUGAAGUUUGCAUUUGAUGCCCCGUUUUGUGGUGACUAAAGAACAUGGUUGUAAGCUGCGCGCUGAAUACGAGGAGAUAAAGUUGGGACGCAGCCACAGCAUCUGGCAUCACGCCCAGACGUUAGGUAACGCUCACACGGAGAGAUUACCGCUUGGGGUGAAAUGUGCAUGUGAAGGAGCGAUGCUUGAAAUCAUUUUGCACCACAAAAAUGUCAUUCAUGUUCUUUAUGUGCAAAGAUGCUUCGGCUUGACACGGUAUCCUGUGUGUGGAUUAUGUUUCGUGGACACGCAUAUUGCAAAACAUGUAAAUGUACUUAAAUCCUAUGGCAACGACCCUUAACAUCCCUUGAAGGUAACUUUGGACGACCCUCUCUGAUGGCUCACCUCACGUUUAUUCUCUUAAUGACAUCGGUUACGGUCCACUGUGCAACCCACACUGGUUUUGACAUGGUCAUUAUGUUUCUAGUUGUGUAACAAUAUAGCAAAAAGUGAAAAUCUCUCUAAAAAAAAAAAAAAAAAAAAAUUAUCUCUGUGGGUCACACCCGCCACACCCAACUGUGAGCGGACACUUCAGUGCAGCACUAAACUGCAGGAGAGUUGCAGAUGCAUAUUCUUUACUAUAUGCCACCCGACACUCCUCUGGAGGUCCUUUUUUUAUGAACAGGCGUGGAUGGAGAGGAACAUAACACCCGUGACUCCUGACACUCUUUCUGUUCAACGUGUGAUUGGAAAAAAAACAUGUUUUGCAUUAAUAGUAAUUCCACCUGACAGAGUACAAACCUUGAUAUGAAGCUGAUAAUGAGUUAUUGAAAUGACUUCAAAGUUGCAUUCAUUGAUUUAAGUCAACAGGAAGCCAAAAUGCAUAAAAGAUUUGAAUCAUAUUAGUGUGUCACAAGACUCUUUAUCAUUGUAUAUUAAGAUAACCAUUCUGCUGCCUUGUAGUGAGGCAUGUGGCGGCCAGUUCACCUCACAUUUCGGUACCAAGUAGGGUUCCAAUAUAGAGCUAAAAGCAUUAUAAUGGAGCAGAAUCGAUAAAAUAAAAAGUUUUGAUUUCUGCAGUAUUAUAGACAUCCCACUCAGCGCAUCCUUUAUCCAGCAGCACCAGUCACACUUACUGGGAUAGAGCUCCAUAGGCGGGUCGUGGUGGCCCGUGUUGUUGGAGUGCGAGUCGUGGCCGUGACCUUUGCCGUCAUCGUAGACCACAAAAACUGCAAACAAGAUGAUGGUAAUAAUCUCCAAAGCCAAGGCCACGAUGGGGAACUUCAGCCUCAUGUUGGUGGCGUACGCCGGCAUGCUGAGACGCUAUAGUUAUCUGUCUGUGGCACUUGCACAUGCACAUACACACACAGGAACGUGCAAUGUGCACUCACACACACACACACACGCAGUAAGCCUCAAUUUCUAACUGAGUGAAGGGAAAGAAGAAAGUGGCAUCUGCUUUUAAACUGAUGCGGGUUUUGUUGUGGCCAAUGACAGAGCAGAAGUCUUGGGCCUGGAUGAUGAACACCCCCUCUUU